ACUACAGAAUACUUGACGAUGAGGGACGACAGUUCGGGUAGCAAACAGGAUUAGAUACCCUGGUAGUCCGAACCGUAAAUUAUGCUUGCUAGAUGUUUUUGUCAAUUUAUUGGCAGGAGUGUCGUAAUCUAACGAGUUAAGCAAGUCGCCUGGGUAGUAUAUUCGCAAGAAUGAAACUCAAAGGGAUAGGCGGGGGAACACACAAGCAGUGGAUUAUCUAGAUUAAUUGGAUAAUAAGCCAAGAAUCUUACCUAGGAUUGACAUGUAUUGUGUCUGCGGUGAAAGUCGCAUAUCCGUAGCAAUACGGAGCUUUACACAGAUGGUGCAUGGUCGUCGUCAGCUCGUGCCGCAAGGUGUCUAGUUAAGUCUGGAAACGAGCGCAACCCUCAUGCUUAGUUAGUAUGUCUAAGCAGACUGCUCGGGUAACCGAGAGGAAGGAGAGGAUGACGUCAGAUCCUCAUGCCUCUUACACCUAGGGCCUCAUAGAUAAUACAAUGGGUAGGUACAGCGAGAAGCAAGACCGCGAGGUGGAGCAAAUCUUUAAAACUACCCCUAGUUCGGAUUGUAGUCUGGAACUCGACUACAUGAAGUUGGAAUUGCUAGUAAUGGCAGAUCAGCCAUGCUGCCGUGAAUAUGUCCCUGUUCCUUGCACUCACCGCCCGUCAAACCAUGGGAGCUGAGGUUCUUUGAAGACUCAUUAUAUGGGUUAAGGAGGAAAUCAGUGACUGGGGUUAAGUCGUAACAAGGCAUCCCUACCGGAAGGUGGGGAUA
rnacentral:rRNA from 1 species